GACGUAGGGCGCGAGCGUUGUCCGGAUUUAUUGGGCGUAAAGAGCUCGUAGGCGGCUCAUUGCGUCAACCGUGAAAUCCUGCUGCUCAACGGCAGGUCUGCGGUUGAUACGGGUGGGCUGGAGUUCGGUAGGGGAGACUGGAAUUCCUGGUGUAGCGGUGAAAUGCGCAGAUAUCAGGAAGAACACCAAUGGCGAAGGCAGCUCUCUGGGACGGUACUGACGCUGAGACGCGAAAAGCGUGGGGAGCGAACAGG
rnacentral:rRNA from 1 species